rnacentral:rRNA from 1 species
CCUACGGUGGGCAGCAGUGGGGAAUAUUGGGCAAUGGAGGCAACUCUGACCCAGCAACGCCGCGUGAAUGAUGAAGGUCUUCGGAUUGUAAAGUUCUUUUCUAAGGGAAGAAGAAAGUGACGGUACCUUAGGAAUAAGCCUCGGCUAACUACGUGCCAGCAGCCGCGGUAAUACGUAGGAGGCAAGCGUUAUCCGGAAUGACUGGGCGGAAAGGGUGCGUAGGUGGUUUGACAAGUUAGUAGCUCAACUCCGUAUAUCAACUUCGGAACUACUACUAAAACUGUUGGACUUGAGUGCAGGAGGGGCAAUCGGAAGUCCGAGGGUAGCGGUGGAAUGCGUAGAUAGUAGGAGGAACACCAGUGGCGAAGGCGGCUCACUGGACUGUAACUGACGUUGAGGCUCGAAAGCGUGGGGAGCAAACAGGAUUAGAUACCCGAGUAGUC